rnacentral:rRNA from 1 species
CACGUAGGGGGCGAGCGUUGUCCGGAAUCAUUGGGCGUAAAGAGCUCGUAGGCGGCUCGGUAAGUCGGGUGUGAAACCCCCAGGCUCAACCUGGGGACGCCACCCGAUACUGCUGUGGCUAGAGUCCAGUAGGGGAGUGUGGAAUUCCCGGUGUAGCGGUGAAAUGCGCAGAUAUCAGGAGGAACACCUAGUAGCGAAGGCAGCUUGCUGGGACGUUACUGACGCUAAGGCGCGAAAGCGUGGGGAGCGAACAGG